UUAAUGGCUUGGAAAGGGAGGAGUACGGUGAUCACCGCUCUUUUAGAGAGGGAAUCCAUGGCUGAAAGAUUCCUGAGCGGAUUCAUCGGAAGGUCGCCCUCGAGCUGCUUCUGUGAAACGAUUUAGUAGCCGAAGCCGGGAAAACCCGUUAUCCGAAAGAGUGCCGGAUUUCGAUCCGGAAAAAAGGUGGUACCACGAAGACAACUCCUUUCGUCCUUUUG
rnacentral:ncRNA from 1 species